rnacentral:ncRNA from 21 species
CUCACCGGUGCGACAGACGGCCGUAUCGCGUGCGUAUAAGGUCGACGUACGCCUGUACGGGGAAUCCGGUGAGAAUCCGGAGCGGUCGCGCCACUGUGAGCGACGACAACCGGACGCGGUCGGGAGUAUCUCGACGGUGUCCGAUGUCGACGCGAGCCAGGAUGCCGUGCCGGCGGAUGAGAUCCACAA